UACGUAGGUGGCAAGCGUUGUCCGGAAUUAUUGGGCGUAAAGCGCGCGCAGGUGGUCCUUUAAGUCUGAUGUGAAAGCCCACGGCUCAACCGUGGAGGGUCAUUGGAAACUGGGGGACUUGAGUGCAGGAGAGAAGAGUGGAAUUCCACGUGUAGCGGUGAAAUGCGUAGAGAUGUGGAGGAACACCAGUGGCGAAGGCGACUCACUGGCCCGAUACUGACGCUGAGGCACGAAAGCGUGGGGAGCAAACAGG
rnacentral:rRNA from 1 species